rnacentral:rRNA from 1 species
GACGAACGCUGGCGGCGCGCCUAACACAUGCAAGUCGAACGGAGCUUUGAGAGCUUGCUUUUAAAGCUUAGUGGCGAACGGGUGAGUAACGCGUGAGUAACCUGCCCUGGAGUGGGGGACAACAGUUGGAAACGACUGCUAAUACCGCAUAAGCCCACGGCCCGGCAUCGGGUUGAGGGAAAAGGAUUUAUUCGCUUCAGGAUGGACUCGCGUCCAAUUAGCUAGUUGGUAAGGUAACGGCUUACCAAGGCGACGAUGCAUAGCCGAGUUGAGAGACUGAUCGGCCACAUUGGGACUGAGACACGGCCCAA